UAUUAUUGAAAGUAAUUUAGGUUGUAAUCUAAUUAAUAACUAACCAAACACGAGGGACCAAAGCCGGGUAACUUGAAAAUGAAUUAUAAACUUAAAAAUAAAACACAAACACACACACACAAGAGUAUGUGUGCGUGUGUGAGGAUCGACCAGGAAGAGCUUUAGGGAGCUCAAACCCUAACUUCAACAAAUCCAUCAAAUUGAAGGUCAAAUCUGGUCCAAAUCCGAUGCAUGAACACAUAUUAAUGAUCACCAAGUCGUGGGGAUCACAAGUUUGACGCUCAACGAGCUAGGUGAAAGGCUUGGGGAAGGAAGCGGGUCAAACGAAUCAAGAAUGAAGGAAAAAGCAUAAUUCGGAUGCAAGGUAAGUAUAGCUUACACUAGUCUUAUAUGUUAGAAUAUUCUCUUAUCGUAUUAGUUACGAAUAAGAUAAAUACAUAAUUUAAGUAUGAUGUUCCGACAUGUAAACGUACGGAACAAGGUAGUCGAGCAUGACAAGAAACCGUGUUGAUGGUUUAAAAGAAAUGAAAACGGUAAAUUGGUCAUGCGUUGACCAUAACUAUUUGUUUUGAAAGUCAUUGUAAGGCGUAAGCCAUGAUAGGCUAAAAAGCGUUAAGAAAACGAUUAAUACGUGAAAUGACCACUCGGUGUAAACCGAAGCGAGUCAUAUAGAUGAGAUGGUAAUAAAUAUCAUCUCGCCAUCAUAAUCGGUCACUUAGACCAAAUGGGUCAAAAGGUGAAAAAUAUCACCCUUUGACAAUAACGACUAAUGAUUAUCGUCGAGCUAUAUUAUUUCAGGUGUAAAUGUCAAAUGGGUAUUAGCAACGCCAUGAAUUAGCGGUUAUAAAAGCAAGGUAUUAAAAACGGGUCAAUAGAUUGAUCUGCGCCAGGUAUGUGAAAUAGGGUAACACUCAUUUAGAACAUGUGGUUCAAGAGUGUUAAAAGAGGUCAAAUGGACAUUUGGUUACUUGAUAAGUAAACCAAAUGUUUUAAGUAAUGAACAUAGCGUUUAGAAAGCUUAAUGACUUUUCAAACAAAAUCAUAGGUUAAAAGAGGGAUUAUGGGUCAAAUAUACUUUCAAAAGUCCUUCAUUGUUAAUAAAAGACUAAAAUGGACCAAAACGCCCUUGGAGGCUAAAUUGAACAAACAACCUUUAAAAGUUGUUUGGAAAUGAUUAUUACGAUUAAAUAAAUACAUAGGACAAGUAUAAAAGUUGAAAGAUGUAUUACGUUAGUCAAACGACUCUAUUCGAGUCCUUGCCGUAAAAUAAUGAGUUGAGGGGUAAAACCCGGUUUGCAUAGAUUACCUUAGUAAACACACCAUAAAUAUAGUUGUGGUGGAAGAUCAUUUGAAAAAUAUUGCGAAAUUAAGAAGCUAGAAAUAAAUAAUUAUGAAUUAUGCGGAGAAGUGCUUAAAUACCCUUAACGGGUCAAAAUAAGCAUUUGAGUACAAACGGGUUCAAGAAUAUACAUGAACUCGUGAAUUGAACCUAAUAAGAUAGACAACAUUGAAAUUACAAGAUUUAUGUGACAUAGGAAUCAAACAAAUACGUUUGUUUGGUAAAACCGUGAAUGGGU